UUUGUCGGGGUUGAAUUUUCUCAAACUUGACUUUUUCAAGCUUGGAUUUCUCAUAUUCAGAUUAGUUGCGUGUUUGGACUUUCUCAAACUUAAAUUUUCUUUUACCAAAAUAUUUCACAAUUUAUCAAUAAUUUUAUCAAUAUUUUGGAUACUUUUUCAAUAUUUCUUAUACUUUACCAAAAUUCCUAAAACAUUAUCAAUAUUGAUAAAUCCUUAAAAAUAUUGAUAAAUAUUUUGAUACCAUACACGUAGUUUCUCUAAAGUGUAGUUAGUGAAUCUCCUUAACCAACGGAGCCCCGAAGAUUUGCUGUCAGAUUCGCCCUCUCACUCUUUCACGAAUUCGUCUGAGAAAUUGAGCUGAAUUUCUCUUCUUAGGGCUUUGGAUUUGAUUGGGAUAUUCAGGACUGAAAAGAAAAGGGGGCAUUAGGAGGAAAUGAACAGAGCCUGCUCGCUUGGUCAAACUGCCGAUACCGCCAUGCGGUUUUUGCAAGAACCCUUUUCUUCUCUCACUCUAUUUCUUGCAUUUGUAUCAUAAAAUUUGAAGCUUUUUCUUUUUUUAACAUUCAAGUUUCUCUAAAAUGUUAAAGUUUGUGAAUUUUUUUCCCUUUCCUUUGUCCGCCUAUACUUUGAGAUUAAUGCUGUUUUUUUCUUCUAAUAUUUACUUGUGUUGUUUUCGUCUUUGUCUUGUAUUGUUCAGUGAUCCCAUGGUGGAGAUGAAAGACGCUCUCCUUUGCCUGCAGUAAGGGAGACACUUUAUGAUGAUGCAAUGCUAUAUGAGCAAAAGCUACUGCAUCUGUUGAGGACAAGUGGCUCCUUGUGAACUUGCAAUCUUCUAAGGAGUUUAGCUCACAUAUGCUUAAUCAAGAUACAUGAGGAAAUGAAGCAGUUUCUCAAACCAUUAGCACCAAUCUUAUUCUGGCAGGUUAGUGUGAGGCUGCAAUUUUUAUUGGCAACUUAGAUGGAAAAUCAAAGUCGUCCUUGAAGACAAGUACUGGAAUUUAUUUUGUAUAUAUGACCUUAGGAGCUGCAGCUUCAUCAGAACCGAGAUAUAUCCUCUCAGAAGAUCUCUAUAUCUUUAUUCCUUUGGACUCUGUAUCCUAUUUUUGAUGAGUUUUGACUUUUGACUCUGUAUCUUGUCUUAUUUAUAUGCUUCUUCUGAUUGAAACUGUUCUAUGGAUAUAGGUAUAUGAUGAUUCAGGCAAGGGCAGGAAAAUUUGCACCUAUUACAGACUUGAUUGGAUUCCUGUGGUGCUCGUUGUUGACCCUAUAACAGGAGAAAAUGCGCUCCUGGUGUGGAAUGGUUCAACCUGACAGUCUGCUGGAGGUAUAUAUUGGUGACACAAAUUGUAGGUUGCAAUUCCUUGUUGAUUCGUUACAGGUAAGUGGAUUUGAGGAAGCUUAUGUUUCUUAUUCUUUAACUGUGAUCUGUUAUUAUUUAUAUAUUAGAAAUUGGUUUGUUGUAUUUGACUAUGGAUUUCCUUGGAUGAUCCCUGUCUAAGCAUAGAAUCUUUAUGUUUAAUUAUAUUCCUAACUAAGUUGACAAAAUCUUGGCAUCUAAACAAUAGGCAUCAAUGAAUCAUUUGAAUCAAUCUUUCCUUUAAUUUCUUCCCGAACCCCUCAUUUGUUCUAUCAGGAAAACAAUAAAUUGUUACCAUGUACAUCUGAUCUAAGUUAAAGCAUUCAGGUGUUGCUUUCACUUACAUGCUUUCCAAUGUAAACUGAUACGCGUUUAAAAUGGAUAUCUAUUUUAUGACAUUUUGGGAGUAGGGAAUAGGGACCAUUAGCUUGAAAAUUUGGGACGAAAAUGUGUAGUCUCCUUGGGCAGAGUGAUGGACUGAUGAUGUCCGGUGCACAGGAUUGUCCUAACUGAUGGUGGUUUAUAUACUUGUUUAUUAUUUCUUUGUCAUUUUGUAACUACUGUGGUGGUUCUGCUCUUCUCAACUUAAUGAAGCUGAAUCAAAGGCGGGCUAAUUCUAGGAGCCUCAAGAUCUCUGGAUUAUGAUGGUAAAUUAACAUUUGCAGUGUCGGGGCUUGCCAAUUCUAUGAUCUUGGUGCAUGGGAAUGAAUAUUGUGAAUUCCAGCACUGGUUAUCAAGCGGUUUGCAAACUUUCAGAUCUUUUAUAUCCGUUUUAUGGUGCAUGAAUAUUAAUUCUUUCAAGGUUCAUGACUAUCCCUUUCAGCAAUAUCAUCUCUAGAGUUGGAACAUAAGUUUUCUUUUUAAGAAUGUAAUGUCUUACCACUACAUCUGAUCUAACACUUGUUGGUAAAUUUACCAAACCUUUUCAUGUAUAUAUACUCCAUCUCUUAAUGUUUGUUUGUUCUAUUGCGGUUUA